rnacentral:lncRNA from 1 species
CCAAGCAGCACUAACAGUGAAGGCUGCCUGCCACUCUGGCUGGUGGGGAAGGGGAAGAAUUGCAAAUAAAACGUUUUAAAACCUGAAAACAAAACAAAACAAAAACCUAAAACCAAAACCUUUGAAACACCCCUUUUCAAAAUUAUAUUUAUUUUUAUGUAAAUAGUUGUUUUGUCUGCAUAUAUGUCUACACAUCAUGUGUGUGCCUGGUACCCACAGAGACCAGAAGAGGAUGUCAGAUCCCCUGAAGUUAUGAAUUGUUGUGAGCUGCCUGUGGGUGCUGGGAACUGAACCCAGGUCUGCUGGUAGAGUAGCGCUUGUAACCACUAAGCCAUCUCUGCAGCCCAGACUCUGAUUAUUUCUAUAGAGAUGAAUUCUAGAAAUAACUAUUUAAAAGUAGAUUAGAUUGGUUACCAGUGAGGACUAGAGGGUUGGGAGGAACAGUGGUUACAAAGUUUCUAUUUGAGAAUGGUAAGUUUUAGAGACACAGAGGACAGUUGUAUAACACUAGGAAAGUAAUGAAGUGUAUUGAAUUACCCAAAUAAUAUGCUAGCUAUUUUUCUGAUCACUGUACUUCAGAGAAGUAAUUUAUUUUAGUUCAUGGUUUCAAGGAAUGUAUUCCAUCAUGUCCGUGAGGGCUGUGAGGGCAGAGCUUGCCCUUGGUCACAUCAGACAGCAGACAGGAAACCAAGAUGGGCCGUGAAGCAGAGCCAGGUUAUAAGCUGUGCCCCCGGUGGCCUGUGUCUCUUAGAUUCCACAGCUUCCCAGAACAGUGCUAACAGAUGGCGGGGAGCAGGUGCCAAGUGCAUAGCCAACGGAGGGACAGUGAGCAUUAUAGUGACAACAAUAGUUAAAAUGACAAAUUUUAUAUAUAGCACAUUAGAAUUUCAACAACAAAACAGUGUGUAGGGCUGGCUGGGUGGUUCAGUGGGUUAAGGCCCUUGCCAGACAAACCUUUUGACCUGAGUUUGAUGCCUGGAUUCCACAUUCAGCAGAAAGGAGAGACUCAGCUCCACUAAGCUGUUCUCUGACCUUCACACAUGUGCAGUGAUAUGAGCGUCUGUGUACACAUACAUGCACACAAAGAAAACCUUUUUAAGUAGAUUUAUUUUUUUAGAAUAAUGAAUAUAUUGAAAACUAUCUGAGGGCUAAUGAGAUGGCUCAGUGGGUAAAAGUGCGUGCCUUCUCAGGCACAUGCACACAGAAUAUGGUAAUAAUAAAAAAAGAAAACUGUAUGAACAAAAUAGAUGACAAAACUGUUGUUGCUGGAGGGGUUGCCUUUUGGG